GCCUUAUCCACUCAGGGACCCGUUGGUGAUGAAAAUAUUCACAGAUUGGUCCCUGAUCUUCUUCACCUUGUAACUUCUCAACCGUAACUCCGUUUAAGGUGAAACCAACGCUCACUUCUUCGUUUCGUCGAGACCUUUCUGUUGAUGUCACUUUCAUUAAGUUUUGACAUUCUUAAAAUGACUAUUUUGCCCUUGCACGUAAACAACCCCUCCGAGAGAGAACUGUUUCCGGCAAAUCUUUUCGCGGCUUCACCGCACUUCUCCCCGGUGCCUUCUUCACCCCCAGGCAAGCCACAAUACCCACUUGCAUGAUAGUCAUGUAGUAGCCAUGGUUUUCAACUUGAAUCUUUAUUAAAUGUUUGCUUGUUUAAAAUAUGGUUACCGUUGUUUCGGUAAUGCUUCUGGACUAGUGCUUACUUUCUUGCUAUGUUGUUAUGCACCUGGUUGUCAUGCCCAUGCUAGUUGCUAGUAUUCCUUUCAUAUUGCCAUGCUUGAUAGUAGUACAUGCUGAUGAUGGUGAUGGUCUUCGGUGCACGACUGUCGUCUGUCCCGAGUACCGUCGUUAUGCAUGUCCCUUUACAUCCAGUUGGUUAAAUGCUUGCAUGAUGGCAUUGUUGAUAUGUUCUUGCAUGAUAUUUAUGGUUGAUGCUAGUGGUCAUGCUAUGUUUCGGAGAAGUAUGUACUUAUGAUGUUCAUGCUCUUCAUUAUGCCAUGUUCAGUUGGAUAUGAUUCAUAGUUGAUAUGGUGGAUAGUUAUGUGGUACCCUCAUGAUUAUGUUGAUAUCCUGUUCAUGCAUUUUAUCAUGGCUCAUCAUAUUUGCAUUCAAGUUAACCGGAUUAAAUUGAACUUUAACAACUGUUGGCUGAGUCAUGGUGCCGCUGAAUCGAUGCUGACCAGUGCAACCACGCUUACCGGUAUGGGACGGUCCUAACUGGGUCUAUUGUUGUGCCUCUCGUCGGUGCCUCCAACGAGGGAAGGUUAUGGGCGCGCGCUACCCUGAUCAGGUAGGCGGACAUAACCUUGUGUGCCCGUUGUUGAGUUUUUUUUGGAUCCAUGUCCCCGUGUGGGACGGGCCACGACGGUGGUCGUUGGUGUCUUUGGUAGACACGGGGCCACCCAUGACUUAGCCCAGAGGGGAGUGAGUUGGAGUGGCCGGGAGAGUGUCAUGGCAGUAGGACGGUUUUGUCGGAACGCCGUUGGUCCACCCGAAUGGGAGUACGAGGCCAUGGGUUCCGUAGUGUGGGUACAGUGUACUAACCUCUGCAGAGUGUAUAUUAAAUCUAUCGAUAGCCGCGCCCACGGAUAAGGGCCCAGGUCGAAAGUAGGUCACACCAUGAGUCAACAGUAAUAAGAAUAACUUGAUUAAUGACAACCCGUGGUUGUGAUCGCCGUAAGGAUCACGGUUUGAGACCAAGUGUUGGUCGUGGUUGUGAUCGUCGUAAGGAUCACCGUGGUAUCGAGGAUACCGAGUUGUUGGAUAUUCGUGAUGUUGUGCGAGAGUCAUGGGUAAAGAUCAAGCUCCUUGUGGUCAUUUACUGAUCGCUAUGGUAUUGUUUAUACCAAGCUUGACUUGAUCCUGAGAUGAUCAUGUGAUGUCCGAGGAUGGUAAGUGAUGCAUGUGACGGUUACCAAGAAACCCGAGCAGAAUAAGUGGUGCAUAUAGUGUCAUCAUGUUGCAUGCUAGUAUUGUGAGAUUAAUAUGUUCAUGUUGUGUUAGCUGUAUCAUGUUGUUCAUGCUAUAUUGUUCUGAUGAUAUCAUGAUAAUCCCUGCUUAACCUGUAAUUGCCAUGCUGUUGUUUGUCUUGAAUGCUUCUGGAUUAUUGUGAGCUUGCAAGUACAUUCAAUGUACUGACCUGGCGUGUCAUGCCAGUUUGCAGGUCAUGCCGGAUUUGAUUGCGUGCUUGUCGUGGUUUCCGUUCGUGCGAGCUAGGAUAAGCGUUCCAGCCAGAGUCCCUGCGGAGUGGAGUUCACCACCGUCUUCGUUGUUCCGCUGCUAGAGUUAUUCCGCUGCUUCGAGUUGUUCUGCUGCUUGCAUAGAGCAACUGAGGAUGGCGUAGUUUCGCCGUACCGAUGUUAUUCAUUGUAAUAUCGGAGACCUUGUAUUCAUACUCGUGUAAUAAUAGAAAGCUGGUUUGUUCUAUGCUAAGCAGUGCCGGAUUCUAGAAGACUUCUCCUCGAUCUCUGGGCUGGAAUACGGGGCGUUCCGGUUUCUCUGAGCCGGGGUGCCACAGCGCUUGGUAUCAGAGCAGGUCUAGCUAUAGGACGCCCUAGACCGCGCGAACGUUAGGAAGCGGUAGUAUAGACCCUAGUUUGUUUGUUGCACUUGGUUGCUGCAUUUGUCUGUCGCAUAGCAUGCAUAUAGAUCAUUAUUUAUUCGCUAACGGUUUAUCUGGUGAGUGUAGCUGGCAUCGGUUCGGAUCCACUACAGCUCAACCUUUGCAUUUCUCUAGUUCCUUUUUCUUUCGGUGUUUGGUGUCAUUUCUGUCCCAGCAGAGUGAUGCCAAGUGAUCCCGACACUAUUUGCAAAAAUGGUGCUCAGGUAUCGCACCGAUGUCUUUCCUUCAGUCCCGCCUAUCGUUUCGGUGAUGGACAUGCUUUUAUCCCGGAUCGUUCUUUUAUUUUGUCGUGUUGGCAACCCUUAAUGAUCUUAGUUAUCAAGGAAGGGCAAUGUCAGCAGCCUCAGUUUUCCCCGCAAUCCUAUUUCUUGGACGAGUACGGAUCUUUUUACGUCCGCUUGAUAAUGAUGUGGUUGCGACCUUCGUGUCCUACUGCAUGAUUACCGAGUACGUCCUUACCUCUGAGCUAGUUCAGGUUGCCACUUGGUGUAGCGCUGCUUACACCAAUUCUUCCACACAUUUAUUCGUCCUCGUGCUCAUCGGCACAGCAUGCUAGAUCGUAGUACCGGAGAUUCCGCGAAAUUUGUGUGCUUAAGUAGGCAUGCAUAUUGUGUGAGUAGCAGUAAUAUGUGGUGAUUGCUUGAUUAAUUAUAUUAGUAGAAUGCUUGUGUGCUUUUGUUUUAGUCGUUUCUGUUGUUCCUUUCUUUGGGCCUUCGGUGAUACAAAAUUUUCCCCUAUUAAAGUUGCUCGUCAGCCGACACCGGACCCGAAGAGUCAGCAAGAAAUGCAUACAUUUGGAAACUCAGCUAAACAGAAUGGAAUUAUCAGCUGACUGCAGUGAAAUUGGGAAUAUCUUGUCUGGAUGCAAAAGAAAUCCUGGAUGGACCAUCAGUAUCAAGUUUGCGUUAGCGUCCACUCAUCACAACAAAAUGAUUAAAUCAGCAAGAAGAUAAAUUGUGUGCAAGGUUGGCAGAAGAGUAUCAAAGGAAUGGCUCAGAUGCAAGUUUAAUUUUUCGUUGAGGAUGAUUUUUGGAACCCGAUGUACCUGGAAGCAAGCAAAAAUAUGGCAUAUACUCAGAAAGGAGGAUAGCAUUGCAAAACCCCGUUUCAUACAAGAUAUCAAUAACAAAAAAAUUAAGAUGGUUAUAAAUGUGGAAAUCGGUCCGCAUAUCACAAUGAGAAGCUUCUGGUGUAAGCAACACAAUCUUCCCUCGCAACAUACCAGAGAAGCUUCCAAGGCAAGAUUCAUCUAUCUUCCUCAGUACGAUACAAGGAUGAUUUCCCGUGCAAGGUACUCUGCCUUCUUCAGUAAGCAACCGCAAAAUCUUCCGGCAUAAGGUACUGAGUCUUUCCCCAACAAAGUCUUUAAGGGGGUAAGCUUCUGAAGCACGAUACCCGGUCUUCUUCAGCAAGCUGUCCAAUGAAAUUUUCGAGCACAAGCCAACCAAUCUUCCUCAGUAAGACAUUGGUACAAGGUAGUACGCUGCAAAUUGAUAGCAUAUGGUAGUGAAUCCCAAGAAUCAGAUCCGCAACAUUUUGGUCAGAAGCAAGAAUCAGUCAGAAUACACGUCUCGGAAAUCAGAUUCUCAUAUAUAUGCGGUGAGCAUACCACCAAGAUCUUACAAGUCACUCGGAUGAGGAUCUGACAACCACGUGAGGAUGAUUAAGAGAACAAACCUAGUAUACACCAUAGUGUGACAAAGGAUUAUGAGGAUUGACGACAUCAAUGAGCUCAGUACAAGUACCUGCGAACCUGGAAAAUGAUCCUGAUGAGCCCUUGUCCCCUUUUUCUCCAAUGACGGCACCACGCCUGUGAUCUGAGCUGUUUCCAGCUAUCCGGGGUGGAUGCCGAUUUUUGUUUCUCUCUUCAACGACUGUCACGAGUUCUGAGAUGCUUUUCGGCCGUCUGGUACAACUGUUGAGUUUCUUUUUGUGACAGUAGCCCUAUAGCUGUUUUUGGCUAUUUUAGGGAGCUGCCACCUUCUUCUUAUCGACCCGGUCUCAUGCUCUGAGCUGCUUUUUGAGCCGUGGUUGAGUUAUUUCAGUAAUGUCCCAGAUCUGAGUUGUAAAGACCAUUCUGGUGGCUACUGAUUUAUUUGUUGAUUUCUUGAAAGGGUUCGGAUGAUCAUUUCCCAACGAUCAGAACUUGAGAGGUGUUGAACCUGCCAUUUAAUGAGGUACCCUGUCAGAAAAAUGAGGAUAAGCUGCGAUUGCCGAAAAAUUGCACCGACAGUACCUAUGAAGAAGCAAUAUGGCCCAGCUCUUUCAGCCCAGGAUCCAGACCAAGAAAACAAUAAUGAAGGAGCAAGACCAGUGAUGCAGGUAUGAAUUUUUUUGCAUAACCCCCAUGGUGCAGAUCCCCCGGACAGUCUAAGUCAGUAUUGAUCCACAUGGAUAUGCCUACAACAUGAGUAAUCGGCAUGAGGAAUAACAGUGUGGAAGCCUGAGUCCUCACUUAUAUGAAUCAUCAUGGAUAGCCUGUCGUGAACAAAAUUUUCUGUCAGAAACACCGUCAGUCAAGUCUGCAGAUAUUAUCAUACAGGCCAAACCCUUUAUGCUGGCCGCGACAGGAGACAAUCAAAUAUUUGGUACGGAUCCGAUACUCACGACAGUGGAACCAGUUAAGAUGAUUCAGAAACUUCUGCGAUGAGUCAGAAUCUGUCAGGAAACGGUUAUGUUUUAACUCACUGUUUGGAACCCAAAGGACCCGCAUUUAGUGGAGAAACCCAAUGCAAUGAGUCAGAGCUUGAGUUUGCAUCAGAAAAUUAUGAUCAUCAUUACAUGAAAGGUUGUCAGUGCCGGGUGGCACACCCAGCGGAAAUCACUUUUGGAUUUGUGAGACGGACAUAUAUUUCAGUCGUGAUAAUUAAAUCACACUCAACUAGUCAACAGAUCUAAAAAAGAAAUUGGAGCCCAUAUAAGCACGAGCAAGCCAAGUAAGAUCUGUCAGAAUGUGGAUACAGUAAAGCAAACCACCCAGGGCCAGUCAGAUAAAAAUUUAGUGGGAACAACAAUAAAGGAAAAAGGAUACCCGAGUUGGAAACGGUUUUCUUAAGUCAGAAUAUUCAUACUUGUUCCCUAAGCAACCAAAUCUCGAGGACGAGAUUUCUUUAAGGGGGUAAGGUUUGUGACAGCCUGAUUUUUGGCCCUUUCUUUUUCUUUUGUUUUUCCGAGGUUUUUGCCUGAGUUUUUCUUUUUCGUGGCUUUGUGGUCUGGAAACUGAAGAAGAUGCCCUCUUCUUUGCUUCCAGAGUGGCUUGUCAUUCCCAAAUCUUUCCCUGGACCCUGUCAUUUUCAUCCUAGCCCAAAUCCCAAUAUUAUUUUUAUUGGGAAUAUUCCUUUUCUAUUAAAGGAAUAACUCAAAUUGCCCUAGGUUGUGAAGCAACCUAUAUUUCCAUCACUCCUAAAUAUCCAAAUAAUUCUCAUAAAUUGUUUGGGUCAUAUCUUGCUCAAAUACAGCAAAACUUUACAUUUCCAUGUUCAAAAAUAAUCCUCCAAUAAUUCAUUUCCUAUUCUGCCCCAAAUGGCACAUUGUGAAGCAAGUGCCAUUUUCCUUUUCCCAAUUGACCUCAAACUCCUUGGAAAUAUUUUCGUGUCCAUAUAAUUGCCACAUGACAAAAUGCAACCCCAUUUGCCUAGUAAUUAUUUAAUUAUGAUUUUCCAAAGUUUCUGUCCAGAAAGAAGCUUUGUGAAGGAGGUACAAGCUAGGCAUAUCCAAAUGAGUUUCCAUUUUGCAGGAUCCUUCAUAUCAUCAUAUCAUAGCCCUCCACCAAAGUAGAGCUCAUGUAAUGCCUCCAUGUGAUCUCAGCUUAAAUUCUUAUUUUCUGGUCAAACUUUCAGUUUGUGAAGCAAGUAUAUUUUAUCUUGCUCCAUUACGGCUGUAAAUGUUUCUAGGCCUUCUAUCAUCCAUAUAAAUUCCCUCAACCAAGUUGUGGCUCAAUCCCUUUGACCAUUUGCCCUGUGGAAUUUUUCCAAGUUUCUGGUCAGAAUAAAUCUUUCUAAAGCAAGUGUUGUUUUGGUUCAUCCAAAUGGCAUGAAAAUCCUUGGGCAUCUUAAUAUCUUCAAAUAAUUGGUCCAUAACCAAUUUCAUCUCCAUUGAUGCAACUAUGUGAGUGCAUCAUCCAAAUUCCCAUUUCUGGCCAUUAUGGCACUUUAUACAGCAACCACCCUCUAAACUCCUUCUCUUAAGCUGAUUUCUUGUAAUCGUAGUAACCUUAGUGUAUGAUCAUCACCAGACAAAGUAUUUAUUGACUUACCAAGCUGGUGUCCCCACUGCACAGCACAAACACUUGGCUGCUGGUUUGCUUUGGGAUCUUCUACAAAUCACUUCCUUGCCCCUGGAACGAUUUAUUUACUCAGUUAUACUAAGGUCACUAGGGUCAAUCCACUAGACAUGGUUGGUCCGGCCAAAGCGAUAAAUUUGCAACAGUGCGCGUGGUGAUCAUGCUUGCGUCAUGGCUGCAGGCGAGCUCUGGCUUGUUCUUGCCACUGUUCUCGUCUCCUCCCUCGUCGUCUCGACUUCCAUCCAUGUCUAGUAGCUGCCCCGUGAGCCGCUGCAUCACCCUGCGUCGAUGGUUCGUCUCCUUUCGCCAUGAAUGAGCCGCUAGAUCCAUGCCCGUGCCAUGCCCAGCCACUGCCCUCCAUUAAUGCUUGGUCGGGAGCUCGCCCGUGAGAUCCAGAAGCCUCCCCUCAGCCUAUAUAAGGACCCCUAGACUCUCCCGCAGCUCCCAAGCCCCUCCUCGUCCCUCCUAGCCCACCGGAGCAACGGCAUCUCGCCGAAGUUCGCCUCUGUUCGCCUCGGCCGCCGCGGUUCCUCCUUGGUUCCGGCGAGCUCGAGCAUCCUCUCCUCCUCUGGUGUUUUCCACCGCCUUCCUCACGUCCCGGCGAACCUCCCUACCCACUUGCCCCCUCGCCGGAGCCCCUGUUUCGCCGAAUACCUCCACCGCCCGAGCUCUCUGUAGCCUCCUCGGUCGCCGCGUCCCACCGCCUCUCCACCACUCUCCGGCGCCUCCUUUGCCUCUGAAUGGGUGCGGUGCUCCGCCCCGAAGCCGCCGGUGCCCGCGCCUUGGUUUGAGGUGGCCGGAGCAGCCCGUUCCAUCGCCGGCGCCCGCCCUGCUCCUCUCUGUUCUCCUCCCGUCGCCACUUCCCCAAGGCAUCCCCGCCGUCCCUGCUGCCUCUCUCCGCUGCGGCCGGCCGAUCCGCGACCGCCGGUGGCCUCCGCUUGGCCGGACUUGGCCGGAGCCGCCUGGGCCCCUCGCCGCGCCCACCUCCCCUGCUUCGCUCCACUGUCUCCGAUCGGGGAGGCAGGAGGAGGAAGACGACGACCUGACUCGGCCCCCCUGGCCGCUGGCCCCACGUGCCAGCCACACACCCGGGCCCAGGUACGUUAAGUGGAGACGUAUUUCGGGGAGUGCGCUUUCAGAUCCUGAAAGCGUAUUUACAGUUCGGUUCUGCUCAAAGUAUGUUUCUUGUUCAUAAAGUGUAUUCUAUUUCUACUUCGGCCUGAAGUAUGUUUUCUAAGUCAGAAGGAGUAUUUUCUGAAAUCCGUUUUGCCUUAUCCACUCAGGGACCCGUUGGUGAUGAAAAUAUUCACAGAUUGGUCCCUGAUCUUCUUCACCUUGUAACUUCUCAACCGUAACUCCGUUUAAGGUGAAACCAACGCUCACUUCUUCGUUUCGUCGAGACCUUUCUGUUGGUGUCACUUUCAUUAAGUUUUGACAUUCUGAAAAUGACUAUUUUUCCCUUGCACGUAAACAGCCCCUCCGAGAGAGAACUGUUUCCGACAAAUCUUUUCGCGGCUUCACCGCACUUCUCCCCGGUGCCUUCUUCACCCCCAGGCAAGCCACAAUACCCACUUGCAUGAUAGUCAUGUAUUAGCCAUGGUUUUCAACUUGAAUCUUUAUUAAAUGUUUGCUUGUUUAAAAUAUGGUUACCGUUGUUUCGGUAAUGCUUCUGGACUAGUGCUUACUUUCUUGCUAUGUUGUUAUGCACCUGGUUGUCAUGCCCAUGCUAGUUGCUAGUAUUCCUUUCAUAUUGCCAUGCUUGAUAGUAGUACAUGCUGAUGAUGGUGAUGGUCUUCGGUGCAUGACUGUCGUCUGUCCCGAGUACCGUCGUUAUGCAUGUCCCUUUACAUCCAGUUGGUUAAAUGCUUGCAUGAUGGCAUUGUUGAUAUGUUCUUGCAUGAUAUUUAUGGUUGAUGCUAGUGGUCAUGCUAUGUUUCGGAGAAGUAUGUACUUAUGAUGUUCAUGCUCUUCAUUAUGCCAUGUUCAGUUGGAUAUGAUUCAUAGUUGAUAUGGUGGAUAGUUAUGUGGUACCCUCAUAAUUAUGUUGAUAUCAUGUUCAUGCAUUUUAUCAUGGCUCAGCAUAUUUGCAUUCAAGUUAACCGGAAUAAAUUGAACUUGAACAACUGUCGGCUGAGUCAUGGUGCCGCUAAAUCGAUGCUGACCAGUGCAACCACGCUUAUCGGUAUGGGACGGUCCUAACUGGGUCUAUUGUUGUGCCUCUCGCCGGUGCCUCCAACGACGGAAGGUUAUGUGUGCGCGCUACCCUGAUCAGGUAGGCGGACAUAACCUUGUGUGCCUGUUGUUGAGUUUUUUUGGAUCUGUGUCCCCGUGUGGGACGGGCCACGACGGUGGUCGUUGGUGUCUUUGGUAGACACGGGGCCACCCAUGACUUAGCCCAGAGGGGAGUGAGUCGGAGUGGCCGGGAGAGUGUCAUGGCAGUAGGACGGUUUUGUCGGAACGCCGUUGGUCCACCCGAAUGGGAGUACGAGGCCAUGGGUUCCGUAGUGUGGGUACAGUGUACUAACCUCUGCAGAGUGUAUAUUAAAUCUAUCGAUAGCCGCGCCCACGGAUAAGGGCCCAGGUCGAAAGUAGGUCACACCAUGAGUCAACAGUAAUAAGAAUAACUUGAUUAAUGACAACCCGUGGUUGUGAUCGCCGUAAGGAUCACGGUUUGAGACCAAGUGUUGGUCGUGGUUGUGAUCGUCGUAAGGAUCACCGUGGUAUCGAGGAUACCGAGUUGUUGGAUAUUCGUGAUGUUGUGCGAGAGUCAUGGGUAAAGAUCAAGCUCCUUGUGGUCAUUUACUGAUCGCUAUGGUAUUGUUUAUACCAAGCUUGACUUGAUCCUGAGAUGAUCAUGUGAUGUCCGAGGAUGGUAAGUGAUGCAUGUGACGGUUACCAAGAAACCCGAGCAGAAUAAGUGGUGCAUAUAGUGUCAUCAUGUUGCAUGCUAGUAUUGUGAGAUUAAUAUGUUCAUGUUGUGUUAGCUGUAUCAUGUUGUUCAUGCUAUAUUGUUCUGAUGAUAUCAUGAUAAUCCCUGCUUAACCUGUAAUUGCCAUGCUGUUGUUUGUCUUGAAUGCUUCUGGAUUAUUGUGAGCUUGCAAGUACAUUCAAUGUACUGACCUGGCGUGUCAUGCCAGUUUGCAGGUCAUGCCGGAUUUGAUUGCGUGCUUGUCGUGGUUUCCGUUCGUGCGAGCUAGGAUAAGCGUUCCAGCCAGAGUCCCUGCGGAGUGGAGUUCACCACCGUCUUCGUUGUUCCGCUGCUAGAGUUAUUCCGCUGCUUCGAGUUGUUCUGCUGCUUGCAUAGAGCAACUGAGGCAUAGUGUCGUCGUACCGAUGUUAUUCAUUGUAAUAUCGGAGACCUUGUAUUCAUACUCGUGUAAUAAUAGAAAGCUGGUUUGUUCUAUGCUAAGCAGUGCCGGAU
rnacentral:lncRNA from 1 species